AGUGAACGCUGGCGGUAGGCCUAACACAUGCAAGUCGAACGGCAGCACAGUAAGAGCUUGCUCUUACGGGUGGCGAGUGGCGGACGGGUGAGGAAUACAUCGGAAUCUACUUUUUCGUGGGGGAUAACGUAGGGAAACUUACGCUAAUACCGCAUACGACCUACGGGUGAAAGCAGGGGAUCUUCGGACCUUGCGCGAUUGAAUGAGCCGAUGUCGGAUUAGCUAGUUGGCGGGGUAAAGGCCCACCAAGGCGACGAUCCGUAGCUGGUCUGAGAGGAUGAUCAGCAACACUGGAACUGAGACACGGUCCAGACUCCUACGGGAGGCAGCAGUGGGGAAUAUUGGACAAUGGGCGCAAGCCUGAUCCAGCCAUACCGCGUGGGUGAAGAAGGCCUUCGGGUUGUAAAGCCCUUUUGUUGUGAAAGAAAAGCAGCAGGUUAAUACCCCGCUGUUCUGACGGUACCCAAAGAAUAAGCACCGGCUAACUUCGUG
rnacentral:rRNA from 1 species